AUUUUUAAGUUAAAGGAUUUGGUUUUAGUCCCAUUCUUAGUUUUAAUAACACUCAAACACAUGGUAUCUUACGGAAAACAGUAAGUAUACUGAAAAGUUUUAAUAUUUAGUUUAAUACUUAAUACUUAUUCUUUUCUCUAGCAUAAUUAAUAAAAUAAUACGUCAAAUAAUAUUUACUUAACACCAGUGUUGGAGCUUGAACUAUAAAUUAAGGUUUGAUUCAGUGAUUAAUUAAUAAGGUCGGGUAAAGUUUGUGCCAGCCACCGCGGUUAGACAAACCAGAUCAAAUUAAGAUAAAUACAGUGAAAAAGGAGGUUAUAGAACAAUAGUUAACUAGCUUAAUUUAUUUCUUAAAAGAUUACGAUUCUUAUAGAGGUGGAAUUUGUAAAAGAUGUAUAAUCUAUUACUUUUUUUUCUUGAGGCCUCGAAACCUUAGUAAAAAACCGGGAUUAGAUACCCCGCUAUUUAAGGCAUAAAUCUUAAUUUAAAAUACUUUACUAGAGUAUUACGGGCCCUAAAUUUUAAUUUACAGCAUAAGCCUAAAACUCAAAAAACUUGGCGGUGCCUUAUAUCCUUUCAGGGGAACCUGUCCUAUAAUCGAUAGUCCACGAUUUACCUUUCCUUUAUUUGAUUCAAUUUCAGUCUGUAUACCGUCGUCGCCAGAUUACCUCUUAGAGUUAAAAAGUUAUCAGUCGGAGUAGUAUUGAAAAUAUUGUAAUGCCAAUUUAAUGUUAUCAAUUUUAUCUAAACGUCAGAUCAAGGUGCAGCCAAUGUAAAGGAAGAGAUGGGUUACAAUAAAUAAUUUUUAUACGAAUAUCUUUUUGAAAAUAUAAGUUUAAAGGAGGACUUGAAAGUAAUUAGGGAAAUAGAAAGUCCCGGUGAAUGCGGCCCUAAGGCGUGCACACAUCGCCCGUCGCUCUCGUUGAAAAAUGAGAUAAGUCGUAACAUAGUGAGGGUACCGGAAGGUGCUCUUGGUGAAAAAUCUAACUUUUAAUCUACUUUAGCCCUGAUCAAAUUAUGCCUUAACUU
rnacentral:rRNA from 1 species